rnacentral:rRNA from 1 species
AAUGAACGUUGGCGGCGUGGAUUAGGCAUGCAAGUCGAGCGGAAAGGCCCGCAAGGGCACUCGAGCGGCGUAAGGGACAGUAAUGUGUAGGUACGUACCCCUGGGUCUAGGAUAGCUGCGGGAAACUGCAAUUAAUACUAGAUGAUGUCUCCGGACCAAAGGUGUGAUUCCACCCAGGGAGCGGCCUACAUCCUAUUAGCUAGUUGGUGAGGUGACGGCUCACCAAGGCGAAGAUGGGUAGCAGGUGUGAGAGCACGACCUGCGUCACUGGGACUGAGACACUGCCCAGACACCUACGGGUGGCUGCAGUCGAGAAUCUUCGGCAAUGGGCGAAAGCCUGACCGAGCGACGCCGCGUGCGGGAUGAAGGCCU